GACGAACGCUGGCGGCGUGCUUAACACAUGCAAGUCGAACGGAAAGGCCCUGCUUUUGUGGGGUGCUCGAGUGGCGAACGGGUGAGUAACACGUGAGUAACCUGCCCUUGACUUUGGGAUAACUUCAGGAAACUGGGGCUAAUACCGGAUAGGAGCUCCUGCUGCAUGGUGGGGGUUGGAAAGUUUCGGCGGUUGGGGUUGGACUUGCGGCUUAUCAGCUUGUUGGUGGGGUAGUGGCUUACCAAGGCUUUGACGGGUAGCCGGCCUGAGAGGGUGACCGGCCACAUUGGGACUCGGGUGCGGCCCGGAGGCAUUCGGGAGGAAGGAGCGGGGAAUAUAGCACAAUGGGCGGAAGGCGGAUGGAGCAACGCCGCGUGGGGGAUGACUGUCUUCGGGUUGUAAAGCGCUUGCGCCUGUGACGAAGCGUGAGUGACGGUAAUGGGUAAAGAAGCGCCGGCUAACUACGUG
rnacentral:rRNA from 1 species